AAUAAGAGGUGGGAGGCAGCCUCACAAGUUAGCAAUGCAGGGAAUGUUACAAGGAGUUAGCUUCAGUAUGAAAAAAACAUUUGUUUAGAGGCAUGGGAUAGAAUCACUGAAAUGCUGAGACAACUGUUCCUUCUCCUCCCUUGAGCUAAGACCCUGAAAGCUGAACCAGUACCAUCUCCUUGGAGCACCUUCUGAGGGUCCCUCUAGCCUACAAAGUGUAGUCAAGUGGAAUUUGUGCGCUUUCCUGAUUCAGGCCCAAUCCAGUCUUCCUAUGCCAGCCACAGAGCAGUCCCAUACUCCCUUCUGCUCAAUCCUACCCUGCCUCUUCUGCCUAAGCGUACAGGUAGCAGACCAGCAAGUUAACUACAUAAUCACAUCUCUCAGUAGAACGUGACUACCAUUCCUGCAAGAACCUUAAACAAACACUUAUCACCAUCAAGAUGCCUAUUCUGGCAGAAGCCCAUUCCUCCAUCUGCAUGGAUGAUCAGAACAGAAAACAAUCCGGGAAUAUGUUGCUGUUUAGAAUUGGUUGUUGUGAGGACAAACCGAAGUGAUUCAUAAAGCACUGUACAAAUUCAGAGUAUCACAGUGAUGACUGAACACUCUGGAUUCAGGAAAUCCUUCAGCUGGAAGUCUUGCUAGGACAGAGGUAUGUGCUGUAUUGCUCCCUGAGAGGAAACCUGAUGUAAAACAAACUCAGCCUCAAGGCUGAUGUGCCUCUGAAUCUCCCCUCAGAGCAGCUAACGGCUCUAGAACUAAUAAGGUCCCAGUGGACUUUUUCUUUAAAGAAGCUUUUAAUGUUACCAGGAACUGACAGCAACGCUGUCCACAUCAAUCCCACUCAGACCCCAGCCUCUGGAAGACAUGACCUUAGAAACUCUGCAGAACUUUUCUGUCACGUUCCACCUAUGUCAACAUUCAUGCCACCCACUGUCCCAUGUCGAGUUCUAAGAAGUUAAGAUCUGUACCUGUUAAAAUGGACUUCUAGAUUUCCAAAAAAGAGUUUCAUGGGACUGUGGGCAUUUCACAUAGUUAGGCUAUCCACGGGCCUGGCCUUUCCAGAAAUGGUCAACUUCAUGUAAUCUUCUUAUCCAUAAAGGCAAAGAUUAAUUAAAUGUGUAACUAAAUAUAAUUAAUUUUUAUAACUCUCUUACAUAUUUAUUUAAAUAAACCCAUAAAUCAGAAAUGACGUUUUUUUUCCUCAGACUGAUCUUCUUGAGACUUGAUUUUUUUACUUGGAAAAUAUAGUUACUGUAAAUACUAUAAACUCUGGUUAACCAGCAUGUUCAGAGAAUAUAAAGCUGUAGUAACCUUUAAAUGCAAAGGAAGAGGAGGAGGAGGAGGAGGAGGAGGAAGAAAAGGAAGAGGAGGAGGAAGAGUGAUAAUUAAUAUCAAAUACAUUAAUACAAGCAGGUUUUAUUAACUGUACUUUUAACAGAUGAUGAAACACAUUCAGAGAGACCCAACAGCAAGUAAAUUACAAUGCCAGAAUUAGAACCCAAAUUUGGCUCACUCAGAGGCGCUCAAUCUCUGCUUCAUUCAGGUCUCUGCUCAAACAUUACCUCCUUACAGAGGCCUUCCUUGACCACACGAUUGAAAAUGUCCCAGCUGUCAGCCUGGCUCCCUCCUUCCCUGCCAUCAACUUGCUGUCUUUUUCAGUCCCCUUACCUGGCUUUAGUUUCCUUCAUAGUACUUAGCUGUAUGUUUGUUUAAAAACAUGUCUCCUGUUUGAUAGAAUGCAAGUUAAGCAGGGAUUUUAAAUUAUUCACUGCUUUAUCUCUAAUGCCUAGAAUAGUGUCUGAGACAUAAUUGGUACUAAAUGAACAAACGAAUAAAAGACCCUAAAAUGCAUGCAUUUUUCAUUACGUCUCACUGAAAGGGAACAGUAAGAAAGCGGAUACAUAUAUACACUGCAUUAUGUCAUAAUUCUUUCAUGAUCUGGGUGGUAUGAUUAUAGAAUAAAGGUUCAAAUUGAUUGUGGAGAUCACUCAUUAAUAUUUCUACUAAGGGAAAAGAGUAGCUGUCUCCUAGAAACUGAAGGAACCCUUUACAACUGUAGCAGUGUGCUCUUUUUCACACUCACAAUCUCUCCUUCCUAUCAACUCUGACAUAAGAAUACACAGGACUCUUUUCACGACAAGUCCAAGAAUUUGGUUAGAUUAUUUUUGCCAUAUAAAGGACCAUUUAAUACCAAAACAAACCUCCCACAUCAAACAGUUAAUUCCACAACCACGAAACCUCUUCUGACUCACCAAGAAAAGCCACAUCAACACAGGCACAAGGGAUUCAUUUAUUACACCAAAAGAGUCUCUUCAGUACUUCUUAAGUAACUAUAAUUUUUGGUCAUUUAAAUAAUUUUGCAUUUAAUGUAGGCUCUACUUCCAGAUUUUUCUGAAACUGAUGGAAGACAUACCUAAUAAAAAUGCAUUUCAAGAAAAAGAAACAGAUUAUGAACAUCUCGUUUCAUCUGGGUUUAUGUGAGACUUAACAUUCACUAUUCUUACUAGACAUUCUCCCUGGGAAGGUAAAACUUUUUUAAAAAGUAAUGCCUCCAAGGUACAUCGUGAAGGCAGACAUCUGCUUUAUUCAGGCAAAGUAAGUGCCCAGUAAGUGUUGGCUCACCAGAUCAUGUAUGUCUUUCACAUAGCAAAUAUUCCGAGUUCUAAGUCACAAAUCGAAUACUCAACAAUUCCGCCUAGAAUAGAGGAGUAACCAUGUCUGUGGGAGGGGGAAGGGUUGGGAAGAGAUCUGUUCUUCUUCCUGAUACCCAUGAGCAGAAUACUGUCACACAGACCUAUUUUGUGUUUUUAUAAUUACCCAAAUUCUCUUCUUUUGUCAGAAUUCAUUCUCAGUAACAGCUUGAGCAAUGUAGCAAUCGUGCUCUGAAAUGACUUGUAAACCACAGACACAAAUAUUUGGGCCAAGAAUGUGGAAUCCAUUGCUGUCACAUUCCAUUAUUUCUGGUGGAGCAAUUCACUAACAUUUUGGAAUCUAGAUCAUAAAUUAUGCAGAGCCUCAGCAAAAGAGCUGAGGAAACAAACUGCUGUAAUAAAACUCCUGUUACUGGAGCCAUAAAAACAGAACAAAGGAAAGGCAAAGAAGAAAAAUAGUGGUUGGACUUUUCUGACAUGCCUUGUCCACCAUUGUUACUGGUUUCAAAAAUGAUAAUGUAACAAUCGGAAAACCAUCAGGCAAGCCAAAAAUGAUACAAUAGGCAUACUGUCAUUCAUAAACAUCACCACCACCAUGAGAGUCCCCAGAAUAAAAUUAGCUUUUUGAAGAAUGCCUGAAUGUUGACAUAAAUUAAAGUGCCUAAAUGUACAUACAACCAAGCCAUCUGUACAUUUUUCAUGACUCUCCAGGGGUGUGAAAUGUCCUUCAACAACAGCACUUGGAUAGUGGUCGCAUUUUCUGUUGGGACAUAUCAUAAAUGUCAGAGGGAGAAAGAGAUCUGUGUCACAUGUGAACUGAAGCAGGUCCCUUUCCCUCUCUGUGGAAACUGACUUAAUGGCAGAGCUGGGACUAAAACCCACAUCUCUUGACUCCCAAGAUAAGAAUGACUUUUAUUUUGCAGUAUGAUGCCUAGAGCAUGGUAGGGGCUCAAAAAUUACUUUGUGAACGGAAGAAUGACAGAAUGAAUGGAUAG
rnacentral:lncRNA from 10 species